GAUGACGAGCGGCGGACGGGUGAGUAAUGCCUGGGAAUUUGCCCAUUUGUGGGGGAUAACAGUUGGAAACGACUGCUAAUACCGCAUACGCCCUACGGGGGAAAGCAGGGGACUUCGGGCCUUGCGCUGAUGGAUAAGCCCAUGUGGGAUUAUCUAGUAAGUGAGGUAAAGGCUCACCUACGCAACGAUCCCUAGCUGGUCUGAUAGGAUGAUCAGCCACUCUGGGACUGAGACACGGCCCAAACUCCUACAGGAGGCAGCAGUGGGGAAUAUUGCACAAUGGGGGAAACCCUGAUGCCCCCAUGCCGCGUGUGUGAAUAAGGCCUUCGGGUUGUAAAGCACUUUCAGCGAUGAGGAAAGGGUGUAAGUUAAUACCUUACUUCUGUGACGUUACUCGCAUAAGAAGCACCGGCUAACUCCGUGCCAGCAUCCGCGGUAAUACGGAGGGUGCGAGCGUUAAUCGGAAUUACUGGGCGUAAAGCGUGCGCAGGCGGUUUGUUAAUCGAGAUGUGAAAGCCCCGGGCUCAACCUGGGAACCGCAUUUCGAACUGGCAAACUAGAGUCUUGUAGAGGGGGGUAGAAUUCCAGGUGUAGCGGUGAAAUGCGUAGAGAUCUGGAGGAAUACCGGUGGCGAAGGCGGCCCCCUGGACACAGACUGACGCUCAGGCACGAAAGCGUGGGGAGCAGACGGGAUUAUAUACCCUGGUAGUCCACGCCGUAAACGAUGUCUACUCGGAGUUUGGUGUCUUGAACACUGGGCUCUCAAGCUAACGCAUUAAGUAGACCGCCUGGGGAGUACGGCCGCAAGGUUAAAACUCUAAUGAAUUG
rnacentral:rRNA from 1 species